rnacentral:rRNA from 1 species
AUGAUCAAUGACAUUAAACAUCAACGAGAAGAUUGGCUCGAGCAUAGGCCGGGCCACUCAAAUAGAGAAGCCGAGGGCAAAUCCUGGACACAAUUUUGGAAAGUGAAAGUUCCAUCAAAGGUCAAGGUUUUUGUUUGGAGGUUGGCACAUAUGUCUCUACCGACGGGUUCAGUACGACAUGAACGUAAAAUGGCGACAACCACUGCAUGCAGCCUAUGUGAAGAAGAGUUUGAUUUAUGGGGCCAUUCUUUGUUUGAAUGUCGGAUGGCGCGGUGCGUGUGGGCACUCGGAGAUGAGGAGAUUCUUGAGCAUGUGAUAUCUAACAAAAGUGAUGAUGCGAGGCUCUGGCUGUUCUAG